AAACAACUCUGCACACACCAAGGUCAGUGAAGAAGGAGGGGGAGGAGGUGCUCCAGGCGCCUGAGCAGAGAUUCCACUGCAGUCCGUGGUGAAGGCCAUGGUGAGGCAGGCUGUCCCCCUGCAGCCCAUGGAGGAUCCCACACCAGAGCAGCUGGUUGUACCCUGAAUGAGGCUGUGACCGUGUGGAGAACUUGCACUGGAGCAGGCUCCUGGCAGGACCUGUGAUCCCAUGGAGAGAGGAUCCCA